CCUACGGGAGGCAGCAGUGGGGAAUUUUGGACAAUGGGCGCAAGCCUGAUCCAGCCAUGCCGCGUGCGGGAAGAAGGCCUUCGGGUUGUAAACCGCUUUUGUCAGGGAAGAAAUCCUUUGGGUUAAUACCUCGGAGGGAUGACGGUACCUGAAGAAUAAGCACCGGCUAACUACGUGCCAGCAGCCGCGGUAAUACGUAGGGUGCGAGCGUUAAUCGGAAUUACUGGGCGUAAAGCGUGCGCAGACGGUUAUGCAAGACAGAUGUGAAAUCCCCGGGCUCAACCUGGGAACUGCAUUUGUGACUGCAUAGCUAGAGUACGGUAGAGGGGGAUGGAAUUCCGCGUGUAGCAGUGAAAUGCGUAGAUAUGCGGAGGAACACCGAUGGCGAAGGCAAUCCCCUGGACCUGUACUGACGCUCAUGCACGAAAGCGUGGGGAGCAAACAGGAUUAGAUACCCUGGUAGUCCACGCCCUAAACGAUGUCAACUGGUUGUUGGACGGCUUGCUGUUCAGUAACGAAGCUAACGCGUGAAGUUGACCGCCUGGGGAGUACGGCCGCAAGGUUGAAACGUCAAAGGAUUGACGGCNGAGAGNGCGAGGACGACGACGAGGGAGGAGG
rnacentral:rRNA from 1 species